rnacentral:rRNA from 1 species
GACGAACGCUGGCGGCGUGCCUAACACAUGCAAGUCGAACGGAAAGGCCCUGCUUUUGUGGGGUGCUCGAGUGGCGAACGGGUGAGUAACACGUGAGUAACCUGCCCUUGACUUUGGGAUAACUUCAGGAAACUGGGGCUAAUACCGGAUAGGAGCUCCUGCUGCAUGGUGGGGGUUGGAAAGUUUCGGCGGUUGGGGAUGGACUCGCGGCUUAUCAGCUUGUUGGUGGGGUAGUGGCUUACCAAGGCUUUGACGGGUAGCCGGCCUGAGAGGGUGACCGGCCACAUUGGGACUGAGAUACGGCCCAGACUCCUACGGGAGGCAGCAGUGGGGAAUAUUGCACAAUGGGCGGAAGCCUGAUGCAGCAACGCCGCGUGCGGGAUGACGGCCUUCGGGUUGUAAACCGCUUUCGCCUGUGACGAAGCGUGAGUGACGGUAAUGGGUAAAGAAGCACCGACUAACUACGUG